GGCGGGGUAGCUCAGAUGGUUAGAGCGUCGGAUUCAUAACCCGGAGGUCACGGGUUCGAUUCCCGUCCCCGCUA
rnacentral:tRNA from 4 species